GCGAAGGUGGCGAAAUUGGUAGACGCACUGGACUUAGGAUCCAGCGGUUAAUGAACCGUGGGGGUUCGACUCCCCCCCUUCGCACUA
rnacentral:tRNA from 2 species